UGUGUGUGUGUGUGUGUUUAGUAAAGCUAGGAAAAACAAAUGUUUGCUAUUAAAAGUGCCUGAGAAGGUCAUGUGGGGUACGAGGGUUAUGAGGGGCACAGAGAGGCCCACUUGGGCACCUGCAUGGGCACAUCGUUGGACAAAAGCUUUUGGGGGAGUUUUGGCCCAUCUCCCAGGGUUGAUCUCCAGGCUGGUAGCUCACUAGAUAAUCCCUACCCCCACUACUACCAGCAAGAAAGGCAUCAGGAUUUUUAAAGGAAUUUUGGAAACUGACAGCUGAAGAUGCAUUUUCAUAAUUUAACAACUUCCCAAUAUGGACACAAAUCCCCUUUCCCUGAAAAAUAGAUUCCUCUUACAGGCAGUGACAAUAGCAGCUUUGAGUGUGACUCUUGAAGUCCUACUUCCGUUUUGUUUUUUAAUUGAUUUUAGAGAGGAGAAACAUCAAUUUAUUGUUCCACUUAUUUAUUCAUUGGUUGAUUCUUGUAUGUGCCCUGUCCGGUGAUCGAACUGCAACCUUAACAUAUUGGGACAACACUCUAACCAACUGAACUACCCAGCUAGGGCAGCCCUGCUUCUGUUUUGAUGAAUUUGGUAGACCUUUAAACAACAGCUACCAUGUGCCUAUGUCAGAUGCUGAGAGACAGUGUUUUUGGAAAGGAUGUAUCUAACCCUAAAGACAGGGCCCACUAGAACACUCCCUACACCAGGCACCGGCCUCCAGCAGGGCAGUCUGUUAACGAAGCUAAAAGAGCAGCCCAAACGUCUCCAAGAUUUGGGAAUGCAGUUGGUAGUGGCCCCACAGCAAUGGGGGGCGGGGCUUCUACCACUUCUGCUUUAAGCUGCACCCUUAGGAUGGAUUUGUCAGUCCUUUUACGUCUUUCCUGGAAGAAGUGAGAUGGGAGAAAGGAGCCUUGCUGACAGCACUCAUCAGGACAGUUGUUCCUAAGCCCACAGAAGAGGGAGACCCUGGUUUAAUCCCUUUGUUCUGGGACAAGGUUUGGCUAUUUCCAAUGAGGGUAAAGCUCUAUUGGCUCAGCGGCAGGGUCAGCCAUCUAGGCGAGAGGUGGAGGGCCUUUUUGGUUAGGUUUUCAGGACGAGGACUUGAUCUUAGGAUGCUGAGGGAAGCUGGCAGUCUGUGGGAAAGAAGGUGACGGGGCUGAGGGGGGUAGGGGUGGGGGGGAGGCAGAAGUGUACCAUCCUCCUGCGCAGCCCUCCCUCGGCCUUGCCCCAGACUGCCCCAGACUGCCGUAAACUUCCCCUGAGAGGUCCCUGGCCUCCAGCUUUGCCUCACUUCCAGCUGCUCUCCAUGAGGCAGCCACGGUUAUUUUUUGGAAACAAAAAUCUGAACAAGGUAUUUCCCAGCUUAAAGUUCUUCAAAAGCUCUGUAUUGCCUUCUAGAGUCUUUUAUUAUUAUUUUUUCCUAUUGGUUUCAGAGAGGAAGGGAGAGGGAGAGAGAGAAACAUUAAUGAUGAGAGAGAAACAUCGAUCAGCUGCCUCCUGCACGCCCCCUAUUAGGGAUUGAGCCCAAAACCUGAGCGUGUGCCUUGACCAGAAUCAAACCUGAGACCCUUCAGUCCAUAGGCCGACGUUCUAUCCCCUGAGCCAAACUGGCUAGGGGCCAGUUUAGGGCCUUCUAGAAUGUUUUAGAACCUAGACAAAUGCAAAACUUUCAUGGCCUAACAGGUUCAUCACAACUUCCCAUCUGCCUACCAAAGCAAUGCUCCAAAUCCAGAGUCCAGCUAAACUGGCUCAUGCUCUUUCCUGGCUUGAGACUUCUUUGCACACAGUGUUCCUUUUACAGGGGAACCUCUCCCACCCCCCACCCACAUGGAGCUCUUAUUCAUUCUUCAUUAUUCAGGUUAAAUAUCACCUCUAAGAAGCCUUUGCUGACAGAACUGCCCCUACUUCAAAGUCCAGUCAGAUGCCCCACCUGUUAGUGCCUGCAGCAGCUGAGCUUUAGCAGACUGUAUUGGAACCGAUGGACACUGUCCAUUUCCUCUCGGACACAGCCUUGCUCUGGGGGCCGACUCAGUGCCUCACAUGCAGUAGCUCCUUUGUAAUUGUUAGCUGCAUGAAUGAUGUCCUGUAAGAAGUUGUCUCUGAAAUGCUGUCCCCUUCUAUGCAAAAAGAAAAAAAAAGUUUCAGCAGGCCUCAAUUGGGAAUGCAAAAGUGACUGAGAUGCAUGAUUGCUACGGAGGUUCUGCUAGAUUUCGGGAAGGCAGACCUAGAAACGUACGCUAAGUGGUAGGUGGUCUAGUGGCUGUAGCUGGAGUUUUAUUGGUGACUUGUGGGGCAGAGGGGAGCAAAGAAUGUCCAGGGGAAAGCCUCCCACAGUGGGUCACUGGCACCAUCUGAGCUGAAUCUUUUUUAAAAAAUACAUUUUUAUUGAUUUCAAAGAGGAAGGGAGAGGGAGAGAGAUAGAAACAUCAGUGAUGAGAGAGAAUCAUUGAUUGGCUGCCUCCUGCACAUCCCCUACUGGGGUUUGAGCCCACAACGGGGCAUGUGCCCUUAACUGUAAUCGAACUUGGGACUCUUCAGUCCGCAGGCCAAUGCUCUGUCCACUGAGCCAAACCAGCUAGGGCUUAACAGUUGGGACUAAAACAGCAUGAAGCAAUAAUGAUGGCUGGGCCAGGAAUUUUUGUUAUUCUUUAUUUUUUUUCAGUUUCAUUGAGGUAUAAUUGACAUAAAAUUCAUAUAUGUAGAGUGUACAAUAUGGUAAAUUUUGUCAUAUGUGUGCAUCCAUGAAAUCAAGAUAAUAAACAUAACCAUCAGUCCAAAAGUUUCCUUAGUUUCUAAUCCCUAAUCCCUCACCCACCCUAACCACCAGGCAUCUGCUUUCUGUCAGUAUAGAUUAGUUUGCCUUUUCUCGAGUUUCAUAAAAAUGGAUUUAUACAGUAUGCACUCUUUAUAGUCUGGCUUCCUUUACUUGCAUUAGUGUUGUUGCAUGCAUCAGUAGUUCCUUUUUGUUGCUGAGUAGUAUUCCAUUGUAUGGAUAUACCACAGUUCUUUAUCCGUUUAUGUGUUGGUGGGUAUUUGAGUUAUGUCAAGUUUUUGGCUAUUGUGACUAAUGGUGCUAUACACAUUCCUGUACAAGUUUUUGUGUGGGAGUGUAUUUUCCUUUCUCUUGGUUAUACACCUAGGAAUGGAGUUGCUGGGUCACAUGCUAACUCUAUGGUUAACAUUUUGAGGAACUGCCGAACUGUUUUCUCAGGUAGUUCUACCAUUUUACAUUCUCACCAGCAGUGCGUGAGUCUCAGUUUCUUCUCAUCUAUAUUGAUGGUCUCCUUAGUCUUUUUAUUUUAGCCAAUCUAGUAGUUGUGAAGAGUUUGGAUUUUAUCCUUGGAUGAUACUGAGCCAAUUAACAUCCAUCAGCUACCCCCCACUGGGGGUCAAGCCCACAACCCCAGGCAUGCGCCCGGCUGGUGUGGCUCUGUGGUUGAGCGUCGACCCAUGAACCAGGUUAGAUUCCCGGUCAGGUAGGUGCCCGGGUUGUGGGCUUGAUCCCCAGUGUGGGACAUACGGGGUCGGGGGGCAGUUGACCUAUGUUUCUCUCUCAUCAUUGAUGUUUCUGUGUCUCCCUCUCCCUUUCUCUCUCAAAUCAAGAAAAGUAUAUUUUCAACAACAACAAACAAAUAAACAAAAACAAUGAACAAAAUAAAGAUGAGGAUUGGUAUGGCCCGGAGUGCUGGCUGCUUGACAAAUACUCGAGCCCCCGCUGCAGGAAAUAGUAACCUGAAUUUGGGUCUGGGCAGUGACCACACUGGGCACAGUGGUCAUGGGUAAACCACUCAGUCAAUAGAAACCACAAUACACAUUCAGCCUGCUAACGGGAAGGGGAGGGGGAAUCCAUCACUUGAUUGCUCAGUUUUAGAAAGGGAAACUAGGACAGAAUGGGGGCGUGAAGCGGGGGAAAUGAAAGGAAUUGUUUAAAAAGUUACAGCCCAUAGAAAGCCUGGAGCCCGUUUCCCUUUGAAAGUGCUUUAUUGGGAGACCGUGAUAAAUGCAUGGCACAAAUCCAGAAGAACAGCCACUUGAAAAAUAAGCCCUGCAUGGUUUACUGACAUAUCAAAGAGGCCAUUGUGAGGAAAAGGACGCCCGUAAAGUAAGUAAAUAUUAAAUGGGAGCGGAUACCCAAGCUGAAGGAAUAAGGAGACCUCAAAACAGCAAAAUUUGCAAAAGCUACAAAUCAAGUGAUAUUAAAAAAAAUCUAAAAAGUACUAGCGAGAAAUGUCAAAUAAAUCGUUCUAGUUUAUUUACGUGCAUGGAAAGCAGGUCAGUUUGAGACUCAAGGGGCAUCAGUUCAUUAAUGUACAAAAAGUGCAUUGGGGAGACCGACAGAUGACAGUGACUGACUGACAUCUUUGCCUCCAUCACAGAGAUUUUCCUUUCCAUUAAAUUUUUUUGAAAAACUUUAUUAUGGAAAAUUUCAAACAAAUGUAAGAUAAACAUAAGAGUAUGAUAAACCAGCAUAUACUCACCACUGAGCUUUAACGGCCAUCAAUGUUCUGUUAUCCUUGUUACAUCGAUACCUAUACCCACUCCCCUCUAACCCCUAACGCAAUCAUUUCUUUAGUCUGGUUUAUGGAGAUAUAAUUUACAUGCAGCAAAAGUCAUCCUCUUUCAGAAUACAGUUCUGAGGUAUUUUUUUGUUUGUUUUGUUUUGAACUGCGACUUUAUUUUUAAUUAUCUUAAGCCUUAUGAUGACAUAAUUUACAAUUUUGUGUUGAUCUAUUCUCUACUUUAAUCCUAGUGAGCUGGAAAAAGCACCAUUACCAAUCAUACACAUAGAGUCAAUGAAUAGCUAUUUAAGACAAUCCUGAAUUAUAACUUAGUCUGACCUAAAGAAUUCACAGAGUUUGCUCUUAUAUCUUGUCACGCUGAAUUUUAAAAGCACCUGACCUUAAAGAUCAUCUAUGAAAUGUAGAAGGGUUAAAUACUCUUUAUUUGAUAUUAUACAGAAACCACACUAAAAUGCCUUUCAUUCAGUAAAAGGCAACAAUUUAGAUACAGGGAAUU